GCGCGCAAGGUGUUGCUGGUUGCACGCCCGUCGUCCAGACGGGAGGAGGCGGUUCAAGUCCGACCUGUGCGCU
rnacentral:tRNA from 1 species